CAGCACAGCAGACUUGUGACGUCAAGUAUCAGACUCUAUGCAAAACGUGCUACAAUGCGCAUGCUGAGAGAGCACAUGGAGGAGAGGACGUGAUUUAGCUGCUAGGUAGCUAUGUUUCUCAGAUCAGAUAUCUUACCUUUCUGCCGGGGAUUCCUUAACAACUAUGAAUGCAAGAGGUGAAUAAAAUGCUCAAGGCCACUACAGGAAAUACUGUUAGCAGACACUGCAUUUGUGAAGAAAAGAAAAAACGGAUUAAAAGGUGCAUCUGCUGCAUCUGUGACUGACUUGGAGGCCAUAUGCCACACAGCUCCUGCGGCCAACGUUGUUUCUGGAGACUGACAGCGGAUGAGCGAUGAAGUUGAUCAAGUAAAGGACAAAGUUAAGCUGGAGGAUGACCUCAAGAGGAACCUCGAACCUGGUGAUGUGGUCCAGGUGUGUCUCUAAACCAAUCACCAGUUGGGAAGUGGAGUAGACCCCCUGAAAGAGAGGGGUGAGAUGGUUUUGGGUUACAAACGGAGAAGAGGAGCCACACAAGUGGUUCAGGUCGCCUCUACCUCCUGCCAGCUGAUCAGAGGUAUCAGUCACGUUUUUAAAUACCUCAACAUAGUUAUCUCAUCAACGCUUGGACUCAUUGGCACCAAGACAACUGGACUUUGAACAAACAGCCUUAGAUUAAUGAAACCAAGUGAAGGAAUACAAUCUCUCCUAAUACCCUGACAGUUGUAAUGAAAAUGCUUAUAAUCACACAGAUUGAGGUUAAUUCUCAAACAUAGGUUUUCCAUAAAAGCCUUUUAAAACCAACAAUGUAAUCAUUACUUCAAGGUGAACAAAUGCUUGUCCAUAUGUGUGUAAUGAUUAAACGGGAGCACAGAAAUGAAAUUGCUUUUGUUAAA